UCCCACCGCGCCUGCGCCGAGCAUGGACGCUGGCUCGCCUUUCCCCGACGCCCAGCCGUCCGGGCCGGGGUGAAAAAUUGCGUGACACGCAGCGAGCGUGGCGGCCAUCUUCGUCUUCUGGGCACGUCAGCUGAGCCGGUUAGGGCUGAAGAGGAGCGCUGCGCAAGCGCACCCAAGACGGUCACAGGUAACUCCCAUCUGACGGGCGAGGCGUCGCCGUCGUCGCCGGAAGUUUGGUGUUUGCGCCGCGGGGGAGGCGGCGGGCGCAGCAGAAGCAGCUGAGUGUCUCCCGAUACCCGGAUGUGAGGCGAUCUGCUGGCUCCAGUCGGACCCUCUGCUAGGCAAAAAGGAAGGUGCUGUAUAAUGUGUUAAGAGCAUAUCAUAAGGAAUGGUUUUGUCAAAUUUUCAUGAGUUAUGGUGGCUGAAACAUCAGUUCUGUUUUGUGGGAAAAGAACUAAAUGGCAGCACAAAAGGAAAUCUAUAUUAGAAUAUUUUAUUAAACGAAGGAAGUUAGAUAAGAACGGCAAACCAACAGACUCAGCAAACAAGGAAAGAAACCUGUUAGCUGUAAGACAUGUUUCAAAUGAAUCAAAGUCCAGUAACUGUGGACUUCAGAAGAAAAAUGUUUUCAAAAAUUUUAUCAAAACAGACAGGUCAGUGGUAAGUAACUCCUCCAGUAAUAGGGCUAGGCCUGAAACCAAAAUUAAUUUAAACAUUAACAGAUUGAAUCUGAAUUAAAUUUGUUUUCAUAAAAAAACUUGUAAAAAUAUUGAAUUAGAAUUAAUUUUUCCUCAAGUUUCUAUUGCCUUGUCCAAAGUAAAGCAAAUAUCUUUAAGCAUUCAUGCCAGCUUUUCUCAUGUCCUAGGAAUGACAGAAAUCUUACUUUAAGCAAAGUAGUAUUUUUGUUGAAAAUGUUUAUCAGCAUCGGUUAAAGUUGAUUUUUUAAGACCUGCUCCUCAUUAGUAAUACUAGUAGCUAUUCAGUGUUUGCACCUAUCAGGACACGAAAGUCCUCUUAAAAACUACUCAGAAAAGGAAGACAUUACUCAGGAAUGAUGUCCAUUCAGGAGAAAUCAAAAGAAAAUUCCUCCAAAGUUACUAAAAAAAGUGAAGAUAAGAAUUUAGAAACAGAAAUUCAAAGUUCUCAAAAGAAUCUAGCAAAAAAAUCAGGUCCAAAGGAAACUGUAAAAUCACUCGUUAAAUCUUCCAGUGAAAGUAAAAUAAAUCAGCCUGAAUUGGGAAUACGCAUGAGUACAAGGUCAGCAAAGGCAGCAUCCAAUGGUAAAGCCACUCAAUCCAUUAAUAAAAAUACGGUGACUGUGAAGGAACAUGCACAGCAAGAAUCUACAAAAAAGAAGGCAUUAUCUCAGAAAAAAUUAGUGCAUGAAACCAUUAAAGCAAAUGAACAACUUAACCGGAGAUCACAAAGACUGCAACAAUUAACAGAUGUUUCAAGGUCUUUGCGCAGUAGAGAAAUUCAGGGUCAAGUUAAACAGAGUUUACCACCAAUAAGAAAAGAGCACUGUAGCAAUACUCAAAGUAAAUCUAAUACAGUUAAAACAAGUCAAAAACAUGUGAAAAGAAAAGUACCGGAAAUAAAGUCUGACUCUAAAGAGGAUGAAAAUCUUGUAAUUAAUGAAGUAAUAAAUUCCCCCAAAGGGAAAAAACGAAAACUAGAACAUCAGACAGCUUAUACUUGUAGUUCUCAAAGCAUACAAGGAUCUGAAAAGUGUUUUCAGAACACUACUAGAAAAGAGGAAAUAAAACCUGUGCAUGUAACUUCUGAGAUAAAAAGAUCAAAAGUGGCUAUUUCAGUGCUCUCAAAAAAGAGUGAGAUGAAGUCAGUUCAUAUACAAGUGAAUACUAGUGCAGAAUCCCAAAAAAGUCCACAGCCAUCAGUGCCUGAAAAAAGUGUAGACAAUGAGCUGGAGCAAGAAGGAAAGAGCAAACGAGGUAGUAUUCUCCAGCUCUGUGAAGAAAUUGCUGGUGAAAUUGAGUCAGAUACUGUAGAGGUAAAAAAAGAAUCUUUACAGAUGGAGAGUGUAAAGGAGGAGAAACCUACAGAAAUAAAAUUGGAAGAGACCAAUGUUGAGAGACAAAUACUUCAUCAGAAGGAAACGAAUCAGGAUGUGCAGUGUAAUCGUUUCUUCCCCAGUAGAAAAACAAAGCCUGUGAAGUGUGUACUAAAUGGAAUAAACAGUGCAACUAAGAAGAACUCCAACUGGACUAAAAUUAAACUCUCAAAAUUUAAUUCUGUGCAGCAAAAUAAGUUGGAUUCUCAAGUUUCCCCUAAAUUGGGCUUGUUACGAACUAGUUUUGUACCACCAGCUUUAGAAAUGAAUCAUCCAGUGACACAGAGUACAUUUUUAGGAAUAAAACCACAUGAUAGAAAUAUAGAAUGUCAGCAGGAAAAAACGAAAGAAAGAUAUUCUGAAGAAGUUAAAAUUAAUGAUGUUACAGUUGAAGUUAAAAAAACUACAAAAAGGACUCCUGAAAAUUGUCAUUUGGAUAAUCAGAUAAAAGCUGCUCCUGACCCACCAUUGGAUAAUCAGAUGAAACAUUCUUUUGAAUCAGCAACACCAGAUAAGAAUUUCAGCCUAUGUUUGGAAUCCAAGCUGGGAGGCAAUCCAGUGGAAAAUACUAGUUCUGUUUCAACUCUACUCAGUCAAGCAAAAAUCGAUACAGAGGAGAGUAAAUUUCCAGGUUCAGCUCCCAAACAGCACAGUAUACUCAAUAACCAAACAUUUAAGAGCAGUGAUAACAGGGAGACACCACCAAAUCAUUCUUGGCCUAAGUGUAAUUCCCAUUUGGAGAUAACAAUUCCAAAGGACUUGAAACUAAAAGAAGCAGAGAAAGGUGAUGAAAAACAGUUGAUCAUAGAUGCAGGACAAAAAAGAUUUGGGGCAGUUUCCUGUAAUGUUUGUGGAAUGCUUUACACGGCUUCAAAUCCAGAAGAUGAAACACAGCAUCUACUUUUCCACAACCAGUUUAUAAGUGCUGUAAAAUAUGUGGUUCUGCUCAUUAAUCACCACGAGUGUGGAUCUGAAGAAGAGUUUAUUACCUCUCUUUUUUUGAGUAUGUUUAACUUCAGAUACACACAACGUAGCCUCUCCUUCCCUAUUAGAUUCUUAGAAGGGCUGGAAAAAAGAAAGAAUUCUGGCUGAAUACCCUGAUGGCAGGAUAAUAAUGGUUCUUCCUGAAGACCCAAAGUAUGCCCUGAAAAAGGUUGACGAGAUUAGAGAGAUGGUUGAUAAUGAUUUAGGUUUUCAACAGGCUCCACUAAUGUGCUAUUCCAGAACUAAAACACUUCUCUUUAUUUCUAAUGACAAAAAAGUAGUUGGCUGCUUAAUCGCAGAACAUAUCCAAUGGGGCUACAGAGUUAUAGAAGAGAAACUUCCAGCUAUCAGGUCAGAAGAAGAAAAAGUCAGAUUUGAAAGGCAAAAAGCCUGGUGCUGCUCAACAUCGCCAGAGCCUGCAAUCUGUGGAAUCAGUCGAAUAUGGGUAUUCAGCAUGAUGCGUCGGAAGAAAAUUGCUUCUCGAAUGAUUGAAUGCCUAAGGAGUAACUUUAUAUAUGGCUCAUAUUUGAGUAAAGAAGAAAUUGCUUUCUCAGAUCCUACUCCUGAUGGAAAACUGUUUGCAACACAGUACUGUGGCACUGGUCAGUUUCUGGUAUAUAAUUUUAUUAAUGGACAGAGUAGCACCUAAAACAAAUUCUUGCCUACAGUACUAGAAGACAUCUGUUGAAGAGAAUGGAUUGGUUGCUGACUUUAACCAGGAACUAGGGCCAUUUUUGUUACAAUGAACUCAGGACUGGCAACAACCAUAUGGUUGUUCCAUUUUCAUAAAAUUGGAAACAAUGCAGUAAUAGCUUAUUAUUGUUUUGUUUUUUAAAGAAGAUAUUUUAUUAUCUUUUACAGAAAUUUAUGAUUGAUGUAUUUUAUCUAUAGUUAUUUAGACAUGUUUACAUGCAGCAGAUAAUUGUUCAUAGUGGACUGAAAACUAAUGCAAGGACUAUGGUCUCAGUGAUAAGUAUAUUUUGAAGUUCUUAAUAUGGAAAUAUACCAGUGUAGUUCGGUACUGUAUUUUUUAUAUUGAUCUGCUGAUACCAGUUAUAGGUUUAAAGAUUGUAUUUUCAGAGUGGAAACCAAUGUUUUUGAGUUAUUAUCCAGGGAGGGUGCAAUAUUAUGUGUUUAGGAAUUUGAAGCUAAUUUUUAAAAGGUCUGAAAUAUGCUUUGAAGAAACACAAAGGAAGGCUCCAAAUGAACAGGAAAAAUUGGAAUAUUGAGCUUUUCCUUUUUUUUUUUUUUUCUCCUUAUCUUUAAUGGCAGGAAGAAGUGGAGACUUGAGGCUUUUCCUCUUGGAAAGCUUGACUAAAAUUAGGAAGAAUAUCCUCUAAAUUCAUUAUUCUUUCAUUCUGGUUUCACUUUUUUUAAUAAAUGGCAACUUGGCACACACAGGCUGUUAACACAUCUCAGAGAGGUUCAUAAAAACCUAUGGAAUAGUUGCAAACUGAAUAUGGAUGACUUGGUAUCUGCUUUGUUAUUAUUCCUCAGAAAUACUGCACUGAGUAUAUGCCCUCAUUACUGGACUUCAUUUUGAUACUUGUCUAUCCUUCAUAGUGCCCUCUACUUUUAAAGGGUUUAUAUGUUGAAAAACUGCUGUGGCCUUUUAUGACCUGUAUAUAAUGUAGAAUAAAAUAAUAAAAUACUUGAUAGCUUUUCUAAGUGACAGAUGUACUAA